AGUGAACGCUGGCGGUAGGCCUAACACAUGCAAGUCGAACGGCAGCACAGUAAGAGCUUGCUCUUACGGGUGGCGAGUGGCGGACGGGUGAGGAAUACAUCGGAAUCUACUUUUUCGUGGGGGAUAACGUAGGGAAACUUACGCUAAUACCGCAUACGACCUACGGGUGAAAGCAGGGGAUCUUCGGACCCUGCGCGAUUGAAUGAGCCGAUGUCGGAUUAGCUAGUUGGCGGGGUAAAGGCCCACCAAGGCGACGAUCCGUAGCUGGUCUGAGAGGAUGAUCCGCCACACUAGAACUGAGACACGGUCCAGACGCCUACGGGAGGCAGCAGUGGGGAAUAUUGGACAAUGGGCGCAAGCCUGAGCCAGCCAUACCGCGUGGGUGAAGAAGGCCUUCGGGUUGUAAAGCCCUUUUGUUGGGAAAGAAAAGCAGCAGGUUAAUACCCCGCUGUUCUGACGGUACCCAAAGAGUAAGCAACGGCUAACUUCGUG
rnacentral:rRNA from 1 species